rnacentral:ribozyme from 1 species
AAAAGCUUUUAAAUUAUUUUUCCCUGAAUUAGAUUGGUAGCUAAAAAUGAAAGAAGAAGAAGGGGGAAAAGACAGACAGACAAACACUAAGAGGCUCUUUCUUUCUUUCUUUCUUUUUUAUCGUUCUUAUUUAUCUUUAGUCUUUUUUAAUUUUCUGUUAGUUCUGUAACAAUGGCGAGGGC